rnacentral:lncRNA from 10 species
AUCGUCUACCUUGGACUUGCCAGCCUCCAGAACUAUGCAGAAAUUAUAUAUACCAAAACCACAGCAAAUGUGGGAGAAAACAAGAGAAAGUACAAUGAUCCUCAAAGGAGGGUGCAUUGUCAACAGAGAGGACCACAUGGUUGUCAUAUCACAUCACAUCGCACAGACCCUUGAUUAGGGUCAACCCAUCAACCAAUUUUCUCUUUAGUUGCCCAAGCAAUAGCCGCCAGAACCUCUACGGGCAUCUCAUUCCUGCAUUCACAGCCUGCAGAAACUAAAAUGGCACCUUCCUU